rfam:Ochotona princeps cont2.55295, whole genome shotgun sequence.
GGAUGUGCUCGCCCCGUGGCUUGUCCGAUUUGCACGGUGGCUUGAUUACACGCUCGCAUUCAGGGUCACUUCCGAAGCGCUUUAAUACCUUCCGUCCCUAAACCGCCGACAGCCGGGCGGCUUCCCCCGUGGUUUGGGGAGGAUCUUGCGGGGUCCGGAAGGGCCUUCGUCUCACCCGGGAUCCAC